rnacentral:tRNA from 1 species
GGACUCUUAGCUCAGUUGGUAGAGCAAAUCCCUCUUAAGGAUGAGGUCCCGGGUUCGAGCCCCGGAGGGUCCACCA